AAUAAAGAUGAAUUGAAUGCAUCCUUUCUCAUGCUGGAGCCUGGUCUGUUGUUUGACCUCCGACAGCACAAUGCUACCGUAUUGCUUGUGCCUUUUAAGAAAGAAAAAUCUGCAAACAUACUCAGUUAAGAAAUAAAUUUGGCUCCGCUUCUGAGUAACCGAUGUAAUGCAUUUGCUUGUACCUUGGCUGGGAAACGAAAUAACAUUACUAAAUCCGGGAAGCUUGAUGUCAACAGGAGAGGGAGUAGAAAUCUAGACGCUUCUUAAGAGGAGGCGGGUUGGUGGUCUCUCACAAUUCAUUCACACAAUCAGGUAACAACUGCCCGUGAGGGAAUUGCACCGGUUUAUGUUUCACUUCCUUCUUUGGCUGUGUGCAAGCUUUUAGAAGCCAUAUUUCAGGAGUAUUAGGGACCUCACCUGAUCCACAGUUAACAAUAGUCUCACCUUGUUCCACCCCUGGGUUAAGUUGUUUCUAAUUCAGAAGGCUUUUCUGCCUGUGCAGUAAUCACUGUUGCAGAAAUGUUUAAAGCUUUUUAGUGGCUGGCAAUUAGACCUUUCAAAGGUUCAGGCUUUCUUUAAGGGUUUGUCUGAAAUUUGUAUUUAGCAUUUUUAUGACUUAACCUUGUAUUAUUGCGGGUGUUUGUUUUUUUUAAAAAAAUACUUUUCUAUUGUAAGUUGCCUUGAAUAAUCUGUAUAAAGGCAACUCAUACGUUUAUAUAGAUAUAAAUAAAUGUACAGAUAAUAAGAGGCAUUGACCGUGGACGUUGUUCCUUUCAUAAUUUAUUAUGAGAUAUAAUUUAAUAACACAGGUAAUUGGUUGUUUAUAUGGGACAGUUCCUUUGACAUCCAUGAUUUAGGACUUCUCCAUGCAGCACAUAGGUUCUAGCUGACAACUGCUGAGAUCUGUUUAAAACCAUAGGACUGGAAUGGAUUUGAGACUAGCAUUGUGUUCUCAGGUAGUACCUGCUUUACCUAAAAUCACAUGACUGUCCAGCCUAUUCCAGGAAACUCCACCUGAAGUAGUUUCUACAAGAGCUGUGAGCCGCGUGCUUCUGUGUUCAGACCCCCCCACCUAACAAUUGCCAAGUUCUUUUCAUCUAAACCUACUUCCUAAGUGCUGUAAAACCAUUACUCUUUGUCCUAGCCUAAAUGGAUACACAGAACAGUUCUUCUCACACUUCUGUCUGACAUGCCUUUAAAUCUGGGCUGCAGCAUAUGGAAUUCUACCUUACACAGAAGUUCAAAAUUCCAACUGUGGUAAAUGAAACUUACUCCCUAAGUAAGUGUGCAUAGGAAUGGCGGUCUUUGUUGACAGAUUAAUUAGCUUAAACAAUUAGAAGCAUUUUCACUGAUUAAAAAGGUGCCCACGAUUAAUAGGCCAGAAUACUUUUGUCGAUAUUUCAUUAUUUUUAAAGCUUGUUCUUACAUAUGAUACAGGCAGCUGGCACCAUCUAAGAAGAGAGAUUCUGCCUUCUCUCUCACACAAAUCUUCUUCCAGGUUGCUGCUUGCUAUGAUGUAUGUGUGUGUAUCCUCUCCAAAACUAUUGUUUUAUUCAUAUGCAAAUUUAUGAAAACGUUGUUAAUUGAUUACCGCAUGUGUGCUUAUGAUUUUUAAUUGCGUGAGCACCCAGCUUUAAAUACUUGAAAACGGUUAGCCUAUAUCCCUUAAAUCCUCUUUUCCUUAGGCUACACAUACCAGUUUUCCUCCUAUAUGUUCUCAUGACACUUGACUUUGGGACCCUUUGAUCGCCUUUGUGGCCUUCUUCUCAUUGCUUUCCAUUCAGUCAUCUUCCUUUGUGAAUAAUGUUCUAAAUGCACUCCCCUAGCUGAGUUGGUUAAAGCUGUUAUCUUGCAAGUAUUGGAAUAAUGGCUGAUGCAGCUGAAAAUGGCAAUUGUCUGUUGGCCAUGGGUCAAGUGGUAGAACACAUGUGUUCCAUGCACAAGGUCACAGGUUCAGUCCUUGGCAUCUCCAGUUAAAACAACCAGGUAGCAGGGAACGGAUUAGAUCAUUACCUGGAGAGCUGCUGCCAGCACAUAGUCCAUCCUGCUAUAAGGGUAGCUUUCUAAAUUCCAGUGGUUAUCAGUCUAGGUUCCUAGAAAUCCUGAGCAUCCUUCGAAGCUAAUCAAUUUAAAAGAAAGAUCAGUAAUGGCAGUGGAGUCUCCUGAAAGACAGCUUGCCCACCACUGUAAAUCUGCUCUCCCAAAAAGAAGUUCUGUACGCAGUCUAGAAGUCUCUGUUCGUUUGCAGCCAUUGUAGGAACCCACAGGUCUGAACAGUGCUCUGCAUAAUCUGACUGUGAACCUUAGAAAAUGUCCCAGAAUGUGGCACAGAUGUGGCAGAUGUACAGGGAUUACACAGCAUACUGAUGUGGGGGAAAAAUCCCUAAAAUUAGAAUGUUUGAAGACCAUAGUGUUACAUUGCUGACUCACAUUUAGAUGGCUAUCCACUGAAAUCCCCAAAUUGUUCUCAAAUGUGAUUAUGCUUUCAUAAGUUAGUCUCUCACAUUUCAGACUUGUGCAUGUUUAAUUUGUUUUCUACUUUGAGUGUGUCUUUGAUGAAACUCAGUUUGAAACCGGGCGUCCAGUUUUAUUAAACUCAUAAUGGGUGGUACUUAACUAAGCUUUACUCAGAGUUGACCCAUUGAAAUUAAUGAGCAUGACUAAGUUGGGUCCAUCCAUUUCAGUGAGUGAGUAAAACUUAAGCUGAAUGCCACCCACUUAACCUUUAGAGUAGACUGUAGAGCAUUGUCAAUCCCUCGACUGUCCAUCUGUAUACUUGGACGAGGAAGCUGCUGUGUUAAGCACUUUCUUCCAUGUUAUAAAUGGGAGGCUUACGAUUUGUAAUGUCACAGGGAUGUAUAUACAUACAUACAUACAUACAUACAAGAGAGUGUUAUUGUUUCUUUUAAGCUGAGGUGUUAUUUCUUCUUUUGAAGCCAGGGGUUUGGAGACUGGCGGAAGAAUGAAUGUUGUUGUUUGUUGACUUGGAGGCAAGGUGGAAAGAGUGCAGCAGGAACACUGAGGAGGAAGUUGGUGCAUCAUUUGCAAAGCUUGGAUAGGGACCUUUGUCAUGCCAUUGUAAUUGAGGUGCAUUUCUGCCUGUGAAUUUCUACUCUUGCUAAUAGCCUAGCUGUUGUGAAGUAAAGCUACACUCUAAAAACAUGCCACACACUAAAAAAGAGGAAGAAAAAACAUUGUACACACCAUGGAAAGGCAAGGGGGCUCUAUUUAAUAUUUUUUAACUAAUUUGCUAAGUCAUCCUGACCUCUCAACUUCCUGGACCUCGAGCUAUGUGUAGUAAAGACUUCGAUAUAUGAGGUUCACACAGGCAAAUAGUUUGCAUGUACAGAACAAUUUCAUUUACUAAGCUCACAUGGGCGUUUUAAAGCUAAGUUCAUUUAAGCUCCUGCAGUACUUCAGCAUCCUUGAAUAGAAGCCAUUAGAGGAAUGAAAAACUCAUUGGUAUCAAUUAUUAUUAAUGAAUUAGCACUCAGUAUCUCCCUGCCGGUGGGCAAUGAGAAUUUUUGUGUGUGCAUGGUUUUGUGGAGCUUAAGCGGAGAAGCUGUUUUUUU